rnacentral:rRNA from 1 species
UACGUAGGGGGCAAGCGUUGUCCGGAUUCAUUGGGCGUAAAGAGCGUGUAGGCGGCCAGGUAGGUCGGUUGUGAAAACUGGAGGCUCAACCUUCAGAGGUCGACCGAAACCAUCUGGCUAGAGUCCGGGAGAGGGGAGUGGAAUUCCUGGUGUAGCGGUGAAAUGCGCAGAUAUCAGGAAGAACACCCGUGGCGAAAGCGGCUCUCUGGAACGGUACUGACGCUGAGACGCGAAAGCGUGGGGGAGCGAACAGG